rnacentral:rRNA from 1 species
UACGUAGGGGCGAGCGUUGUCCGGAAUGAUUGGGCGUAAAGGGCGCGCAGGCGGCCAUUCAAGUCAGUAGUGGAAGUCCAUUUUUUCAAGGGUGGAAGUGCUAUAGAAACUGAUGGGCUUGAGUGCAGGAGAGGUUAUCGGAAUUCCCGGUGUAGCGGUGAAAUGCGUAGAGAUCGGGAGGAACACCAGUGGCGAAGGCGGGUAACUGGACUGCAACUGACGCUGAGGCGCGAAAGUGUGGGGAGCAAACAGGAUUAGAUACCCGCGUAGU